rnacentral:rRNA from 1 species
UGAGGAAUAUUGGUCAAUGGACGCAAGUCUGAACCAGCCAUGCCGCGUGAAGGAUGAAGGCGUUCUGCGUUGUAAACUUCUUUUAUCUGGGAAGAAACCUCAGUUUUCUAAUUGAGCCGACGGUACCAGAGGAAUAAGCACCGGCUAACUCCGUGCCAGCAGCCGCGGUAAUACGGAGGGUGCAAGCGUUAUCCGGAUUCACUGGGUUUAAAGGGUGUGUAGGCGGGUCUGUAAGUCAGUGGUGAAAUCUCCGAGCUCAACUUGGAAACUGCCAUUGAUACUAUAGAUCUUGAAUUUUGUUGAGGUAGGCGGAAUAUGUCAUGUAGCGGUGAAAUGCAUAGAUAUGACAUAGAACACCGAUUGCGAAGGCAGCUUACUAAGCAAAUAUUGACGCUGAGGCACGAAAGCGUGGGGAUCAAACA